rnacentral:rRNA from 1 species
UACGUAGGGUCCGAGCGUUGUCCGGAAUUAUUGGGCGUAAAGGCUCGUAGGCGGUCCGUCACGUCGGGAGUGAAAACUCAGGGCUCAACCCUGAGCGUGCUUCCGAUACGGGCGGACUAGAGGUAUGCAGGGGAGAACGGAAUUCCUGGUGAGCGGUGGAAUGCGCAGAUAUCAGGAGGAACACCGGUGGCGAAGGCGGUUCUCUGGGCAUACCUGACGCUGAGGAGCGAAAAGCAUGGGGAGCGAACAGG